rnacentral:rRNA from 1 species
CUACGGGGUGCAGCAGUGAGGAAUAUUGCACAAUGGGGGGAACCCUGAUGCAGCAACGCCGCGUGGAGGAUGACGCAUUUUGGUGUGUAAACUCCUUUUAUAUGUCAAGAAAAUGACGGUAGCAUAUGAAUAAGCACCGGCUAACUCCGUGCCAGCAGCCGCGGUAAUACGGAGGGUGCAAGCGUUACUCGGAAUCACUGGGCGUAAAGGACGCGUAGGCGGGUUGGAAAGUCAGGUGUGAAAUCCUACAGCUUAACUGUAGAACUGCACUUGAAACUUCUAAUCUAGAGUAUGGGAGGGGGAGAUGGAAUUAGUGGUGUAGGGGUAAAUCCGUAGAUAUCACUAGGAAUACCUAAAGCGAAGGCGAUCUCCUGGAACAUUACUGACGCUAAGGCGUGAAAGCGUGGGGAGCAAACAGGAUUAGAUACCCCCGUAGUC